GAACAGGGAAGAGGCCAGCACCGAAUCUCCCGGCCGGUGGGUCGGCGAGAAAUGYGGUGUUAGGGAGCGGCCGUUCCCGCGGCGCGCUGGAUCGUUCCAAGUCCUCUUGAAAGGGGCCACGGCCCGUAGAGGGUGCCAGGCCCGUAGCGGACGACGUGCGCGCUCGGGGGGCUUGUCUCCUCAGAGUCGGGUUGCUUGAGAUCGCAGCCCUAAGCAGGUGGUAAACUCCAUCUAAGGCUAAAUACAACCACGAGACCGAUAGCGAACAARUACCGUGAGGGAAAGUUGAAAAGAACUUUGAAKAGAGAGKUCAAGAGUACGUGAAACCGCCCAAGGGGAAACGGAAGGUGUUUGAGCAAACUAGGCCGGGGAAACUCAUCUCCGCUCGCCGGCACGCUCAGCUACCCGCCCGCUGGCGGCCGCUUAACUUUGCUUUCUAGCGUCCCCACGCAAGAACGGUCGGGCGAAUCCAGCUCUGAGCACGGGAAACGGAACCCGUGCGAGUCUGUCGGAAGGGCGGUGUGCACUUUUCCUUCCCAUAGUGCGUCGCGAUCCGUUGGUCGGCGGUCAAAGGCCCGGGGCUAUUAUCCGUCGGGCGGCGUGAACGCAAGUUUGCGUCGCCGGGCGGAGUCCCCGGUGAGCUCGCGGUGGGCAGCUUCGCGGCGCCCGUUGCCGCAGCUUUUCCCGGCCGCCGUGUAAGCCCGCCCCGUAGCGGGGCGGCAGUUACGACGGUCAUGAAAUACGUGGAAGACGUCCCGACCGUCCCUCUACCCUUCGGGCGAGGGGGACGGCGGGUCCCUCCGGACCAAUUCACGAGCGCCGGUCGCGGUGGUUAGCUAGCGCGCGGGGCGUCCCUUAGGGAACGCUCGUGCGCGCAUCCCAUCGACACGGCCGCGCGGUGACAGGAGGGGGGGGAUGAGCGAGAGCUCUCCCGAGACAAACCGGCGGCGUAAGUCUCAGACUACUUUCCGACCCGUCUUGAAACACGGACCAAGGAGUCUAACAUGUGCGCGAGUCAAUGGGAAGUGUGAAACCCAAAGGCGCAAUGAAAGUGAAGCCGGGCGGCGACGGUUGACCACCGCGUCCGUCUCGGUUAGGGAGGAUGGCACGGGGCGCGCCGGGUCCGAGGACGCCGGCGCGUCAAACGUAACCCCGGCCCGCACUCCCGGGGCGUCGUUCGCGGCGCACCCAGAGCGCACACGUUGGUACCCGAAAGAUGGUGAACUAUGCCUGGCCAGGACGAAGCCAGGGGAAACCCUGGUGGAGGUCCGUAGCGAUUCUGACGUGCAAAUCGAUCGUCUGAGCUGGGUAUAGGGGCGAAAGACUAAUCGAACCAUCUAGUAGCUGGUUCCCUCCGAAGUUUCCCUCAGGAUAGCUGGCACUCGGAGACUUGAAAUAAUGCAAUGAGUUACGAAUCUCAUUCGGUAAAGCGAAUGAUUAGAGGCCUUAGGGUCGAAACGGCCUUAACCUAUUCUCAAACUUUAAAUGGGUGAGAACGCCGGCAUUCUCGAAAAGCAGAAAUGUGAUGCCGGCGAAAGGAUCGUGAGUGCCCAGUGGGCCAUUUUUGGUAAGCAGAACUGGCGCUGUGGGAUGAACCAAACGUAGAGUUAAGGCGCCUAAAUCGACGCUCAUGGGAUACCAUGAAGGGCGUUGUUUGCUUAAGACAGCUGGGCGGUGGCCAUGGAAGUCGGAAUCCGCUAAGGAGUGUGUAACAACUCACCAGCCGAAGCAACUAGCCCUGAAAAUGGAUGGCGCUGAAGCGUCGUGCCUAUACUCUACCGCCGGAGGCAAGGUGAGGGCGCCCGCACGUCCUGCGUCGGGAGCGCCGCGUGUGCCUAACCAGCCACAGCGAGCGCAGGAGCCCUGUUAAGCCGCGGUGAGUAGGAGGGUCGCGACGGUGAGCGCAGAAGGGUUGGGCGCGAGCCUGCCUGGAGCCGCCGUCGGUGCAGAUCUUGGUAGUAGUAGCAAAUACUCUAGCGAGACCCUGGAGGGCUGAUGUGGAGAAGGGUUUCGUGUGAACAGCCGUUGCACACGAGUCAGUCGGUCCUAAGCCCUAGGGGAACCAGAUGUAGAUGCGAGCCAUUGAGGGCAGGUUCGAAUGCUUGUAUUAAUAGAACGCUGCCGGCCGCGUCGGGCGAAAGGGAAUCCGGUCCCUAUUCCGGAACCCGGUCGCGGAACCGUUUCACGUCGGGCCCAGCGUCGAAAGGCGCAAGCUCGUCGGGGUAACCCAACAUGACCCGGAGAAGCCGUCGGGAGGUCUGGGAAGAGUUUUCUUUUCUGUUUGAGCGUUCGGGUUCCCUGGAAUUGCCUAGCGCAGAGAGAGGGAAUGGAGCGCGUAGA
rnacentral:rRNA from 1 species